rnacentral:rRNA from 1 species
GUAGGGAAUAUUGGACAAUGGGGGGAACCCUGAUCCAGCCAUGCCGCGUGCAGGAAGACGCAUCUAUGGUGUGUAAACUGCUUUUGUACGGGAAGAAACACUCCCUCGUGAGGGAGCUUGACGGUACCGUAAGAAUAAGGAUCGGCUAACUCCGUGCCAGCAGCCGCGGUAAUACGGAGGAUCCAAGCGUUAUCCGGAAUCAUUGGGUUUAAAGGGUCCGUAGGCGGUUUAAUAAGUCAGUGGUGAAAGCCCAUCGCUCAACGAUGGAACGGCCAUUGAUACUGUUAGACUUGAAUUACAAGGAAGUAACUAGAAUAUGUAGUGUAGCGGUGAAAUGCUUAGAUAUUACAUGGAAUACCAAUUGCGAAGGCAGGUUACUACUUGUGGAUUGACGCUGAUGGACGAAAGCGUGGGGAGCGAACAGGAUUAGAAACCCGAGUAGUCC